GGGGCCUCUCUGAGCAGCAAAGCAACAACCACAGAGACCUAGAAGUCCAUGGAUUUGUUGCAAGCACUUUGUUACCACUCCUGUGAGGCGGGUGAUUAGCAUUAUCCACAUUUGAAGUCUUAAAUGGUGUAAACUCCAGCUAUUCCCCCUUCCCCCAGAAAUUGCGCGUCCUGCUAUGUCCUGCCAUAGCAGCUACAUUCAGCUAUUUGUCCUGAGGGUGAUGCUUACGGGAUCCAAGGCAUUCAUAUGAGUGGGCUGCCCACUCUGGAAUUUACUUUCAGAGAUAUGGCUGAUCCAGAACCUGGCCAGGUAAAAUGUAAUGUAAAAUGUUUCUCUUUCUCUGUGUCUUCACUAGCUGUAGGUUCUGGUAUCUCUUGUCAUUUAGUACACUGGCUAGAUUUGGGAGUCGGAGACCCAGUACAAGCUGAUUUCGUGGGGAGGGGAAUACAACAAUUUACAUUUAUUUUAUUGCCUACCCAGAGCCCCAAUUUUUUUAAUGACUGAAAAAAAAUAUAUCAAAAUACUAGCCCAAACUAAUAAAUUAAUAAUGGCUAGAGCAGAGCAAAAUUUGGAAUUUCCAUCGUGAGAGCAAUUCAGACAUUUCAACAUUUGCUUUUGUCCCAAAUCAGGAUGAAAAAGUCAACAUUUUUGCAGAAUGGAAAUUCUGAAAAAUUCCAGUUGUGAAAUAUCAAAACAAAAUGUUUCAACAUUCGCAAAAUCAAAAUGUUUCAUUUCAGGUUAUUGAACUUACCCAAAAGACUUUGAAUCUGAUCAAUAAUAAAUUGCAUAUUCUAACACUGGCACACUGCCUCAUGCAAGCUGUAGCCUGGGAGCCUAAUACCCCCAUUCUCCCCUUACGUGCCAGGUUAUGUGGCUGGACUACAUCUCCCACAGUGCACCCACAGUCAUGUUACUCCCAUGAUGCACCACACUCAGCCAGAGGGAAAUCUGCAUUGCAUUACCGGACAUGUAGAGCCCAACUCACAUGAGAGGAUGGGGGCCUGAACUACAACUCCUAUAUGGCAAUAUACUGAUUGGGAAGUUCAGUUUAAUAUUUUGUUACCUCAAAUGAAAGAUCUCAUUUAGAUUUUACCCAGUGGAAAAAAAAAUCAAAAAUUUCAAGAACAAAAUUUUCCCACAAUUUUGUUUUCGGUGGAAAGUGCAUUUUCUGUUGGAAAAAUCAUUAGCUGGAAAAUUCCUGACCAGCUCUCAUGAUCGCCACAUAGCAACCAGUUUGUCCCUCCUAUUCCUCCCGAGCCUGAAAGAAAUGGACUUUGCAAUGUGUUUAGGAGAAGGAAGCAAGCGCCAAAGCUGAUGGGCUUUCACAGAAAACACUCUACCAGUCCUUUAAAUCAAAGGAUCUUCAGCUUGGGCAUCUUGUUUGAUCACAGCUAUGGCAGUAUCAUAUGGGGAGAGAAGAUAUGACAAGUAAUCCAGUCCCAAACCAUUUAGGGGUCUGCAGCUUUCAACUCCACUAUGAAAUCAACAGGGAGUCAGUGCAGCUAGGGAGCAUCAGUGACAUGUGCUCUCAGCAUGAGGCUCCGCUUUGCAAUCAGAGGCUACAUUCUGCACUUGGUCUCACUGUUCACAGAAAUCAGGAUGUAGCACCAUGCAGAGAACAAACAGCACAGUAGCAUGUUGCUACUUUAGCUCCCCAUGUAAAGUGUGUAAAGCAGACAGGUUAGAAAUGCUUGUAAUGAAGUCAUUGAUUUUGCAGAUUUUGGGAAACUAAAUCACAGAGAGGUGAAGUGAUUUGUCCAAGGCCAUAAGGGUGUCAGUGUCAGAACUGAGUACAGAAUCUACCUGCAGUAUCUGUCUACCUAGAGUCUUAUACCACGCACAUCACCGUGCUAGCCGCGUCCCCAGUCCCAAUUCUGUGCUUGAACUAUCAGACAGCACCUCUCUCUGACAUCACAGCCACAAAAAAGAUGACCUGUGCUAGCAGGCAAUGUAAUAGGUUAGACCAAAACACACAUCACAAAUACAUCACACGGGUGCACACAGACACACGUGCACAUGUAUAUUAAGAAGCCUGGGUGGUGAUUUAAAUUCUCUCAUUUGUUAUCAAAUCUAGUGAAUGAAAUAAACCUGCAGGAUGAAUAAGGCUUUUGGAAGCCUGUUGGCUGUUGCUACUGAUAUAUAGAGAGCCUCUGUCUCUUCCUUCCUACUGCCCCCUGUCACACUUGAGAGCUCAUUCUCCUUUUGCUCAACAUGUCCUACAGCAAAGCCUUCUUUGAUCCUGCGAUCUGCAUAUUGUCCUAGCUCCCAAGCAGGCCCCGCUUCCUAUCUGAUCCCCUUGUCUGCUUCUGCCCCUCAUCUCCACGAUGGAAUAAAAGCCUCAGUCUCAACUGCAUCAGCCCGAGCUCUGCAGCUCAGAUGAGUAAGAGCAUUUUUGUGCCCUAACUACCAGACCAGCCAAUGGAGAGAGGGACGUGAAGCUGCCUGAGAUGGGCUGAUGACAGGGUGAGAGAAAUCCCCACUUAUUCUUUCUCCCCAUCUGUUACAUGUUACAAUUAGGGAACAGCCAACAAGGCUGCUGCACUCAGGGGGUGUCUCUAUGCUGUAGGAUGAAAUCAGCUGACAACUUACACAGGCUGGUGGAGUCUCUGAUUACUCUGUCUCUUUCCCCUUCACUUUCUCUCAUUCUUUCUAAACUCUCCACAGCUGCUGGUCUUUCCCCAUCUCUCCUGAUCUAUUCUGGCUGGUAGUUUACUAGGGUAAGGUAAAGAUUGCCUUCUCUUCUGCUACAGAGAUUCCCCAGUGUUGUUCCCCUAGAGAGUUAACCUUUUACUCUCUUUCCAGACAAAGAUCCCCUGGUACGCCCUCCCCCCAGAGUCCCUCCUUUAGCGUUGGUUGCCCAAAUGUUCAGAACUGUAAUACCAAGAAUGGAUCAACAGAGGGACAACACUCAGUGCUGCUAGGCGAGAGUGGAUGUAAAAGUUCAUGUUCAACCCAUGAAAACUCUGUAAUGACAAGCCACAGAAAUAUUGCAUAUGAACAUCUGGGCGUUCCAUAGUGGUACAUGUUUUCUAUAUGGUGUAAUGAGAGAGGACAAGCCAGGCAGAGGGAAAUGGACCAUGUCAGUCUGGGGCAAUGGAGAGUGUUAAUUUCCAGGGAAUGUAACAGUAAGGAGAGAUGCCUGGAAUCAGGGAGAUCAGAGACAGAAAUAGUCUAUCCACAGAGACCCAUGGAGGAUUGUUCCUUGCACUGCUCUGUCUAGUCCUGAUUCCAGCAUCCCCAGCAAUGGGGUGUGAUCAGGUAUGAGGGAACCACUCACUGAGUACAAAUAAAACAUGUGUACUUCCCACAUACAUAUUUAAUUAAUUUAAUCAGAGUCAAAGGUGUCUUUGGGGUUAAUUCAAUACACUUUCCAUUGCAGGGUGAAUGAUGCUGUCCAUCUUUUCAAUUGGAGAGAGGGGGGAAUGUAUGCACAGUAUGUCUAUGCAUGUGUGCUUAUACUAGUGCAUGUGUAUGAAUGGACCUGCAAGUAUCUGUGUGUAUGGCAGCCUGCCUGUGUGUGUUUAUUUGUCUAUAUUUGCAUGGUAUAUCUGUGUAACUGUAUACACAUGUGCCGUUGUUGGUAUGCGCCACUGGUCUUGCAGGUAUGUACAAUUCUUCUGUGUACCUUUGUGUGUGUGUGCAUGGUAUGUAAUAGGUGUACAUAUGUGUGCACAUGCAGGUAUGCAUGCAGGUAUAUCUGGCCAUAUGUUUGUGUCUGUGUCCAUGCAUGCACACAUUUGGGGAUUGUGGUGCAUGCGUUGCUGUUUACGCAGAAAUGUCGAGGCUGAAAUUUUCAAAACCACUUAAGGAAUUUGCAACUGACUGAGACUAAACAGAAAUCGGGGUGUCCAACCCCCCGAGGCAUCUGAAAAUCUCCAUCUAAAUCUUUAGAACCAUGUGCUGUGCUGCUGAGAAGGGAAGGGCAUCAGCGUGUCUCCAUAUCUGCGUACACUAUACAGCAUCUCCAUGAGGCUUACAGUGCUUCAGAACGGAUGCAAACAGGAUUGACAGUGCCAUAGGAGUACAAGAGCUUCUGCAACCACAGGAACCCAGCCCCCCAUGGAUGUGUGAGCUCCCUCUCCCACCACACUGUACCUUGAAUUGUUCUUUUGAAGAAGGCUUUGCAUGCCUCGCAGGAGGCCACGCCAUAGUGGUAGCCAGACGCAAUGUCCCCGCACACCAGGCACAGCCUCUUGGGGAUGGCAUUGAGCAUGUACUCGCACUUGGUGGGCGAGUCCUCCAUGAUGGCGCUGGCACAGUCGUCGUAGCGCUUACGGCAGGAUCCGCCACCAAUCCCUGCACCGUUGAACAUGGGUGGCGAGUCCAGGCCGUUCGGGUGGCCACCCAUGGCAAUGCCGUAGCCACCACUAGCGUCAGAGGAGCCGCUGGGACUAUGAUGGCUGAUGGCAUCAAUGCCAGAAGAUGGGCUGGACGGCUCAGUCUUAAUGAAGGAUCCGCAGCUAGAGAAGUCUUUCCAGGCCUUUCAAAGGUCUCAUUAGCCAUCUCUGAACCUCCUCCAUUUCUGCUAUAUUUGUUUUUCGAGAGGGUGACCAGAACUGAAUUCAAUGAUCCAGAUUCUCAGCUGAUGUAAAUCAGCAUAACUACAUUGAAAUUAAUUCUCCAGCUGAAGGUGUAGCCCAACGUUCUAGUCCAUGUACCUGGUAAAUGUACCACCAUCCUGCCGACAGAAGAGCAAACCCAUCAGAGAUGACAGGACAGAGCUUCUCUCAUGUACCAAAAUUAGAGUAUGCAUGAGUAGUUUGCAGACACAAAAAUUGCAGUGGUAAAUUAUGAAGAGGACCCGUCACUGAUACAGAGUGAUCUGGAUCGCUUGAAUAUGGAAUCCAGGACUGGAAUGGAUCUGCAGAUCAUGACUGAGGCUCCUCAGCGGACCCAGAACUGGAACAGCAAGGGGUUCUGAAGUCAGGUCUCAAGUGCUUUGGGACAGCUGUGUGAAGGAAAAAUGCACAGCAAAUGCCCACAUCAUGCCUUAAUUUUUAGCCAGUUCUAGGUGCCUUUCACUUCUCUGAGCACCAGCACACACAAAAAACCCAAACCAAACCAAACAUGAAAUUUCUCCCUGUACCUUCCCAAAGCACAUACAUCACUGGAUGGAAAAUAAAAAUAAUCAAAUACAAAAAUAUCGAAGCAAUGAUUUCAAUUGAGAAGCUGGAAUCCUCUCUCCCAUCCCUGGAAUUUGUCACUCGGCCUUCUGUUAUUCCUCAGGGACACAAGGGAAAUGCAUCAAACUCACAACUACUUCAAUGUCAGUUUCACUUCCUGCUCUCCUUUUUCAAUAUUUCUACUAACUGACAAACAGAAGCCAACAGAGACACAGAAUAACACAGCUGGGCAACCCAGGGAGGAGGAGAUUUGCAUCUGUUUAUAUGGCAGAGACAGACUUCCACUGUGUACCUGCCUAGGGUGAGCAUUGUGGGUCAGAUGGUCUUCAUUGAGUGUAUAUGGGAGAAGGUGGUUUUCAGCUGGGACUUUGGACCAGGAGGCGCACAGAAAAACAAUGGAGAUUUGGGCGGAUUUGCCUAACAUUUGCCAGCUCCGUUAAGGAAAUAAAAAAUAAAAACUGACCUGACUUUGGAUAAUCCACAUAAAUGAAAGAGAAUGAAACAGACAGAAAUUAAUCUGUAACAAAUCAGUUUCUAUACUUAUGCGUGUAUAUCUAAAUAUAAUGUACUGAAGUGGUAUAAAUAUUAAAUCAAUUAGGAAUUUUUAAUGAAUCCACCACCAUGGUAUCCAGGCCACAUUAUACAGAUGUGCUGAGGGAGAGGUGUAUGUGAUGUUACGUGUGUGCGUGCGCGCAUAUGUGUAUAUGUAUAUGUGGUAAAUGUAUACCAUCCAUGUAUAAUAUAGAUUUAUGCUAUACACACACUGCUCUCCCUCUCUACAUGUGCCUAAAUACCAUGGUGAUGGGUCCCUUGCAUUGCCCGACUAUGAUUUAAUAUCUAUAUAGCAGCAUAAUUGUACACAGAGCUUUACAACAGACACAACAUACUAAGUAAAGAAGAAAAUCACUGCUUACCACAAUAUCUGUGAGCAGCACCCUGAGUCAGAGCCCUGUGUCUACUGGGACAUGAAAGGGAGAAUGUCAUGUGAUUUUCCGUACAUCUGCACUACACUGAAUCUGAUAUUUUAGAGAUGUUCAUUCUCUUUCCUGAGGGGCAGCUCUUAGUGGCUGCUGGUAGGAGAGGGGCUGCCCUCUGCAGGGAAGGGUGAAGGGGAGCCAUAGGGGAAUAUGUUUCAGAGACAGCGCAGCCCACCCUGACGGCGUGUCCUCCCUGCUGUGUGCGUUCCGUUUGCCCUUGGAAUGCUAUCACUUAUUAUCACGCUGACUUCUCCAGAUGGGGCAUUUUGGCUAUUGAUCUGAUAAAUAAACAGCCUGCUCGCUCGAUCAAAAUGUUAUUUUGCAUUUCAAUUACUGUUCACUAAUGCAACCUUCAUCCCGCCAAGAGCGCUGCUGGCAAUGACACUCGACCUGGCACAGGCGCUGUGAGCAAACUCGGCAGUGCCUGCUGCAAGCACCUAACGGGAUUACCACCCUCCAUUAGGUGCGUAGAAAGAAAGGGUGAUGGACAGACAGUCUUGCGAUGAAGGGGAACAGAUGUGCAGAAAGGGAAGUGUGUGGGGGCUGGAGCCGGGGCAGGAAUAAGCAGGCGAAUGAACACACUGACAUCAGGAGUUUGCCAGGCAUUUGCCAGCUGGAGUUCUCCAAGGGGUAAGUCAGCUCUAGCCUGCGAAUGGCUGGUUCUGACGGUCCAUCUUCCAGAUGGGACUGAGCUCAUGAGGUUGGAGACAUGCGAGAAUUCAGAGAUAUGGGAAUUGGAAAUCAAUCUGUGAUUACGGGCCAGCAGUGUGAAUUGAAAACCAAUCACUGGCAGAUGGGGUGGCUUCCAAGAUAUUAUUUUUCUCCUGGCUAUUUUGGGGUUUAGCAAUACACAGGAUGCAAACAGGGCAUUGCACUCAAGUUUGGGGAAAGAGAAUCCUCUGAACUCCUGACUGCAGCCUUGAAGAGAUGAGGAAACAUGGCUAGUUCUGGAGGUGGCGUAGUAACAGCAUGACACACAAAAGUGCGGGUAAGAGACUGAUCUAUAGUUUCUGGCCUAAAUCACAUGACCUGGGUCAGGAUUCCAAAAGUUUCAUACCCCUGUCAAGUGGCAGGUGUCAGUAUCCACCCUCUCCAGUACCCUUUUUUACACCGUCCCUUCUUUAAAAAAAAAAUCAAAUGCAAAGAAAACAUAAAACCAACUAAAAAUACCAACCCCAAACUAACACAGACUAUUUGUAAAAACACACAAAGGGAGGCGCAUACGUGGAGAUCAGCCCUGAACUCCCACAUAGAAAGGUUGCCUCUUAUUGGGCUUCUGUCAACAACAACCUUCUCUGGAAGGCAAUGACUUUCUGAUCGCGUGGCUACCUCUUGUUUUCAAAAAACCCAGCCCCUCCUGCAGAUAAAGUUGCUGAGGUGGAGCUGCCACAGAAAGCUUCUGUCCAGCGCCAUGUCGCCCCACUGAUGUUGAAAGAGCCUUUCUUCUGGGAUCAACUAGAUAAUAUAUCCUCCAAUGCCACACGUAUUGAAUUCUCAAAUGGAGGGACAGAAGA